CUCAAGGACUAGGAGUGGUCGGAUUUGUUGCGAAAGCUGGAAGCCACCUGAAUAAAAGUGUGCACGCAAACACAGAUUAUAUAAGUGACCUGAAUUCUCGUGGAAGGCGAAGAGCACGUUUCCUUUGCAGAGAAGUUUAGAGACGGGCAAAGGGAGUUGGAUGAUGCUGAUGAUGGCCGCUCCCCUUCCCCCCCCAGCCAACCCGCCUCAGUGCCCUGACACCCGCCCAACCACCGACAUGUUGUACCUCCGCCAUGUUCCGCUCCUUGUCCCCGACGCCCGGGGAGAAUCCCCCCGUCCCAACCUCAGAGCCGAAACCUCUCGCCGAGCGCGGGGCAGUCUCUUCCCCACCACCGCCUCCUCCUGCGUUCACAUUUCACGUUAAAACGGAGCUCUAUCUAUCUCUCUCACUCGCGCGCGCAGUAAUCAAACUCACCGCAAUCUCUAUAUCCCUCCCGCCGUUUUCACUGCCUGUGGAGUCUGCCUCUUCCGAUUGUUGUCCUCGGUCCGUCGAGAUUUCAGGCCUUUACGCCGAAUGGCGGUGGUUUCCGCGGUACGAGGGCUAAGGCGACGAUGGAAAAGCAAAGGCCGCGGCCUAGAUCCAUUUGAGUGGGCUCAUCCUCGUAAAUGGUCAGGAAAAUGGAAGUGGUAAAACUUUUGUGUUUUACCCCCAUCCCAUGACAGUCCCAGACACGACAGAACAGUAAUAACUUUCUAGGCCAGAAUCCGCUCAUUUUAUCGCCAUAAAUAAACUGCAAUCUCGCAACCCUGAGAGAAGGAUUCUAGAAAUAAGACAAGAAGCAGAAUUAAUCUUAUCAGCACAAUGGCCCUUGCUAAAACUGCAGACCUGAGACUCAACCAAUGGUGUGGAUAAAAGAAAUUGAAAGAAACUUUCAGCUUGGUGUAAAAUUUGCUUACUUUCCUUUUACUUGCAACCACAAAUGAACUAAAGUAAACGGCAUAAAGACUUUUUAUAGGUAAUUCUGUCAUUCGAUAAAGAUUUUAAAAACAGUCACAAAAUUUAAAUUUUGAUAAUUUGUUCAUCCCAUUUUGUUUUCUGAUGACAAGUGCCCAAUGGGAGAGUGUAGGGAGGAGAGGGGAAUUCUUUAACUUGGGGAUUAUGGGUAAAACCCUCUAUUCAACUUUGAACAUUUGAAGAUCUUCACCUGGUCAAUAGAAUAAAAUUGACAACAUUAAAUUGGCCACCAAUGUUUACAGCACCUGAUGUUCAGUUUCAUUGCUGAACUGAAUGUCAAGUUUUGCAUUGGAGGUCUGUCCGAUACUAGCUGAUCAGUGCCACGACCCAGCUGAAUUUGCACUUUUGUUUUACUCGAGUAUAGGCAGAUAAUUCUCUUGGAAUGUAAUUCCAGUUUUUUAAAAGUCUGGUCCAAGUGUAAUGAUUAUUACUAGAUUGGAAUUGUUUUGCGUAAUUGAGUAGUUUUUGAAAUAAUUCUGUCCAGAAAUUUCCAAAUGAGCUAUUGAACCUAUCGACUACUUGGCAAAAAGGGAGAAAAGGGAACCGAUAUGUCAUGAUAUAGUAUCAAUUUGGGACAACAGUUAAGUUUUCUACUACAUUAAGGAAUGGCUAAACAUAAUUACUGGAAAAAGAUACUCGUUUGUUCUAGUGUCGUCCUGACUUGGAAAUAUAGUGUCAUUCUUUCAGUGUUGUUGGGUCAAAAUCCUGGAAUUCUUUCCAUAACAGCACUGUGGGUGUACCUACACUAGAUGGAUAAGGAGCAAUUAUUCAAGAAGACAGUUCACCACCUUCUCAAGGCAAAUCUGGAUGGGCAACAAAUGCUGGUCCAACCAUCCCCUAAAUGAAUUUUUAAAAAUCUUGUCAUUUGCAGCCAUGAUAUGGUUUUGUAUCUGCAUUAUAAUAAAGCUCUCAUGAAAGUGAAAGUUAGAGGUAGCACUGAAAUGAUGUAAAGGGGGUUUUCUAUUAAGUAUAUGAGCAGGCUUUAUGUCAACAUUGAGACAAUUAAGCUUUGUCUAGAGCAUAAAGAGCUAAGGCUCACCAAUAAGAAUAAUCUGAAACACAGAAGCUAAAAUAUUUAGAAUAAUCAGGAAAGACUGGUAAUUCCUGAAAUCUUAAAACUAUAGUCCUGGACAUACUAAUUGAAGAAUCUCCAUUGUCUCUCCCUCUGACAUUUUUGAUUGAUUAUUGCUAACAACUUAUAUUCCCAGUGCAAACAAUAUUUGUCUUGUAAAACUCACCAAAAGAUGUAUGGCUUGAAAUGCUCUGUCAGAUUAAUUCAGCAAUAGAUUCCAUAUAUUCUUUGGAGCUUAGACGAGUGAGAGGUGUUCUAUAAAAAUAUUUUUAUGAAUAAAGUAUAGAUUUGAAGUUUCAAAAAAAAUUCAAAGAAACAUCUAACAUUCUUUCAAAGCCUGAUUGGGUAAAUGCUGAGGAACUGCUUCACCUGGUUUUAGAGUCUGAAACUUUGAUAUUUAGGACUGAACUGAGGAAGCAUUUCUUCACUCUGAGGUUUUGAUUUUCUUUGCAAUUCUCUACCCUAGUAAUCUGUGAAUCCUCAGUCAUUGUGUCAAGAUGAGAGUUAAAGAUAUUUGGACACUAAAGAAUUCAGGGGGUAUGGGCACAGGCUAAGGAAAUGGAGUUUUUGAAAAUUUGUUCACUGGAUGUAGAUGCACUUGAAUAGGCUAGUUGCCCAUCCCUAAUUGUACGUAAGGUGAAAGUUGUAUUCUUGAACCAUUGCAGUACAUUUGAUGUAAAAGCGCCCAUAGUGCUGAUAAGGGAUUUUCAGGAUUCUGACCCCUUGGCAAUGAGAGAAAAGCAAUAUAUAUCCAAGUCAAGGUGAUCUGUGACUUGCAGGGGAACCUUCAAAUUAGAACACAAUUAGUGAAUUCUGAAGAAGAGUUCACACAAUUUCUAAUUCUUGAUUGUGACUCCUCUCUUUAGUAUCAGAGCAAGAAAGGCCCUUUAAGACCCCUCUGGAGGAAAAUGUGGAGGCCACAAAGGAAGCAUUAGCAAGGCUGCCUCUUAUACCUCUUACCAGUUCAGAUACUGACAAUGCAUUGGCAACUUGCUAGAUUAGAAUCAGAAGCACAGGCUGAUGAACACAUCAUUGCCACAAUUUCACGACUGGCUGAGGAAGAAAUGCCCUGGGUUGCUUGUAAUCAGAGGACUGUUUUGGAAUCUAUAGCAGAUGCCCAAUUAGCCCAGCAGGAAGGGACCCUGUGAUGGUGGCAUUUAGAGACUUUGUCCACAUGCGCAGGAAGGAACAGGAGCAGCAAGCGGGUAUGUGAGAGGUAAUAGUCCUCAUUGCCCAGAGGCUCAGUACUGCAGCGAUGUUGGGGACCCACCUGCUACAAACAAAUGAUCGUCUGGAAGCUUCCAUGAAAUUGGUGUGCAAAUAUACAUUCCUCAAGCCAGCUGUCUGUGGCCAUGAUGAUAUCUUAGCAAUUCAUUUAUUAGCCUCACAGAUUAAAAUUGGCCUUAAGGAGGACAUACCAUACGGAAAUCACCAUUCAGCAAAUGUGGCUGUGUUCUGGAUAACAAGGUUAAGAGUAGAACAAAAAAAAGUGGUUAAAAUCCAAGCAAACCAUAAACCUAUAUCUUGACUAAUAGCUCUGAACAUUAUGCUCUACAUAAUGAUUAAUGAGAAAGAUCUUAAAGAUCACAUUUGCAAGGCUAGUAAUCUCACAAACCAAACAGCAAGUUGUAAUGAAGUGUGAAUCUGAUUCCACUCUGCUGGACAGCUAAGUUAUGGAAAUAAAGCUCAGUUGAUUUUCAAUUUAUUACUACAAUUUUCUGAAGCAAAUUGAGUGACAAUAUGUAAGGUUAUGCGGAGAGCUGAGGUAUUACCCAAGCCAAGUAAUAAAACCCUUCUUUAGUUGGUAGAUGCAUAAUACUGUAAGUGAAAGAUUUGGUAUAAGAUUUAGUGGGUUUACUUCUUUGUAAAUCUGAAUAUUUUAUCUUCCUUUCUGUCGAUCAACUUUCAAAAUGAGAAAAAAUGUUUCAAAUGUACAGUGCCAAUCUGUCUUAAAUUCAAAAAUU